GGAUGCCAGUUCAAUAUAUGAAGCUGAAGCAGUAGGGACCUGCGAUGGAGGCCGAUGUUUCGAAAGAGCUUGCAUGCCAAUCGAACGACACACGAGGGCAGCAUUCAACAACAUAAACACGCGACUGUAAAUCUGGCGCUAUCUUCACUUUCUUGUGUGUUUUUGUCCAACGUAUUAACACCAAACUGGAUGAGAAGCAGAGAGCAACUUCUGAUGAUGUCCCAACUGGGGAGGUAACGUCAACCACAGUUACAGAGGGUGAUGUUGUCAAGAUGCCAACAGAUGUGGCCAUCACUAUGGAUGCUAUUCCCAAUGAAGAUGAGGAGGACAGAUCCAAAGGUCUUGACCCACAAGAUAACCAUUCCACCAGCACCUCUGACG
rnacentral:lncRNA from 1 species